rnacentral:rRNA from 1 species
GAUGAACGCUGGCGGCGUGCCUAAUACAUGCAAGUCGAGCGAACAGACGAGGGGCUUGCUCCUCUGACGUUAGCGGCGGACGGGUGAGUAACACGUGGAUAACCUACCUAUAAGACUGGGAUAACUUCGGGAAACCGGAGCUAAUACCGGAUAAUAUAUUGAACCGCAUGGUUCAAUAGUGAAAGACGGUUUUGCUGUCACUUAUAGAUGGAUCCGCGCCGCAUUAGCUAGUUGGUAAGGUAACGGCUUACCAAGGCGACGAUGCGUAGCCGACCUGAGAGGGUGAUCGGCCACACUGGAACUGAGACACGGUCCAGACUCCUACGGGAGGCAGCAGCAGGGAAUCUUCCGCAAUGGGCGAAAGCCUGACGGAGCAACGCCGCGUGAGUGAUGAAGGUCUUCGGAUCGUAAAACUCUGUUAUUAGGGAAGAACAAAUGUGUAAGUAACUAUGCACGUCUUGACGGUACCUAAUCAGAAAGCCACGGCUAACUACGUG